rnacentral:misc_RNA from 1 species
UCCCCGUUACCGGGGCAGUCUGGCUAGAAAAAUACAACUAACCAUAAGGGUUGCGCUCGUUGAUGGACUUAACCAAACAUCUCACGACACGAGCUGAAGACGGCCAUGCAACACCUGUCAUUGGGUUCCCGAAGGCACUCUCGUCUUUCGACAAAAUUCCCAAGAUGUCAAGCCUUGGUAAGGUUCUUCGCUUACCAUCGAAUUAAACAACACGCUCCACCGCUUGUGCGGGUCCCCGUCAAUUCCUUUGAAUUUUAGUCUUGCGACCGUACUCUCCAGGCGGAAUACUUAACGCGUUAGCUUCGCUACAUACCGGGUCGAUACGGCAUACAGCUAGUAUUCAUAGUUUACGGCGUGGACUAC